CUAUUUUCUAAAACUUUAAAAUGGAGUUAAGAAUUCCUGCCCCACGGUUUUCUGUGAAGAUUACACAAGUUAAAGCCUGUGGAAAUGACUAGCAAGCUUUGCAGCGUGUAGAUAAUUCGCAAACACGAUCUUUACUGGCCACUGAGGGAGAGCAGAUAUGUAUCUUUCCUAGAUGAAUACAGGGAAUGGAAAUGAACUCCAAGCUUAUAUCUAAGACAUCCAAACUGUUUCCAGCUAUCUGCAGGCUGCCAGAUGUACAAACAGCACCAUGGUAAAAAUAAAAUAGUGGCU
rnacentral:lncRNA from 1 species